UGUACAUUCCCACCAAUGGUGCAAGAGGGUUCUCUUCUUUCCACACCGCCUGCAGCAUUUAUUGCUUGUAGGUUUUUUUGUUUUUCGUUUUUGAUGAUGAUGGCCGUUCUGACCAGUGUGAAGUGAUACCUCACUGUAGUUUUGAUUUGCAUUUCUCUAAUAAUUAGUGAUGUUGAGCAUCUUUUCAUAUACCUUUUGGCCCUGUAUGUCUUCCUUGGAGAAAUGUCUACGUAUUUUGGAGAUUAAUCCUUUGUCAAUUUCUUCAUUUACAAAUAUUUUCUCCCAUUCUGAGGGUUCUUUUCAUCUCAGUUAUGGUUUCCUUUGUUGUGCACAAGCUUUUAAGUUUAAUUAGAUUGAAUUUGUUUAUUCUUGGUUUUAUUUUCAUUACUCUAGGAGGUGGGUCAAAUAAGGUCUUGCUGUGAUUUAUGCCAAAGAGUGUUUUUCCGAUGUUUUCCUCUAAGAAUUUUAUAGUGUUUGGUCUUAUGUUUAGGUCUUUAAUCCAUUUUGAGUUUAUUUUUGUGCAUGGUGUUAGGUAGUGUUCCAAAAUAAAAUUUUUUUAAAAUUCCAGAAAGAGACCCUGAGGGGAGAAAUGUGGUUGGUAUAUUUGUUGUUGUUUAGUCACUAAAUCGUGCCAAAUUUUUUGCAACCCCAUGGACUAUAGCCCACCAGGUUCCUCUGUCCAUGGGAUUUUCCAGGCAAGAAUACUGAAGUGGGCUGCCAUUUCCUUCUCCAGGGGAUCUUCUUAACCCAGGGAUCAAACCUUCAUCUCCUGCAUUGGCAGGUAGAUUCUAAAUGGGGAUGGUUUGGUGAGUUGAUAGAAAGGAAAGGAAGUAGGAAAUGGAACUAGGGCCAGCUCAGAUGGCGCCUUGGGGGCCAUAUUGAGUUUCUAUUCUAACUGUGAUGGGAAGUCAUUCCCAGAGGGAGAAUUUGAGUAGGAGAAUGACAUGAUCACUGGAGAACAGAGUUGAGCGCUAUUGCAGGAAUGCUGGGGAGAAGUGUUAUAUUGGCUUAUAUUAGGAGGUGGCUGUCAUUGGGAGUGAUAGAGUGCUCAGGGGCAGGACAGAGACGCAUGGGUAGAACUGACAGGAUCUGCUGAUGAGCUGAAUGUGACUCAGAAGGGAAAGAUGACAAGACAGACUCAGGGAUGACGCCGAGAUGAAGAGAAUUGUCACUUUAUGAGAUGAGGAAUCAUGGGGGAGGAGUAGGCUGGCAGAGGAUGAAGGGGGAAUCAAAAGUCAUUCCUUUUACUUGUUUGAGAUGCCUGCUGGAUAUCCAAGUAGAGAUAUUAAGUGGGCUGUUUGAUAGACAGUAUCAGUAGGGCGUCCUCAGAUUACCAAUGACAUUUAAAACCAAGAUGCCAGAGGAGAUCACCCAAGGGGCGGAAGUACACAGAGAGGUUCAGAGUCUGGGCCUCAGCGACACCCCUACAUUUAGAGGUCUGGAAGAGUGGACCCACCUAGCCAACUAAGACUGGGGCAAAGUAGUCAGCGGGGGCAGAAGGAAUACCAGGUGAGCACAGGGUCCUAGAAGGAAGGGAGAAGAUGUCAGAAAGGAACCUCUGGUUUUCUCCACACCUUCUGGGCAGCCACUAAGAUCAUGAGCCAACCCAUAGAGCGAGGGAGCUCACUUCCCCCACACAUUCUUCCUUUCCUGCCCCCUAGUGAGCUCUCCUCUUAGUCCUCUCCGGGUAGUUUUCUUGGCCAGGGCCUACAGUAUUUUUCCACUUUCCCACCCUCCAAUGCCAUCACAUCUCACAGGCAUCCUCUCAUUUCCCUCUUAGGUCAGAGGAGCAGAGCAGUACCCUCCUCGUUUUCUUUGGGCAUUUCUAUCCUUGCCUCCUUAAUUCCCAAUAUCCCAGCUCCCAGUACAGAUCUAACUGCUCACCCUGCCUUGAUCUGGCUGCCCAGUCCCAGUCAUGAAAACAGAAAUACAGGUUUGCCCUAAUGUGGACAGGCUCCUAUAUCCCUCUCAAAAUUUACCUUCUACCAGAAUUACAUUAAUAAAACCCAAACGUAGUGAUCAUAGUGUUUUCCCUGUUCAAAAAAACCUUCAGAGAAUUCCUUCAGGAGAAAUUCCACAUUGAUUGCAGGGCCUUCAGGUCAGGCCCCUGCUGUCUGACUCCCCAGCCCUCCAUCCUAGCCUCAUCUGGCGCAGUAGAUGAUGCCCGCUUCUUCCACAGGGGUAUAUGAUCUCCAAAACUACCGUGUACUUUCUUGACCACAGGCCAAGCUAAUCCCUGUGCCUGGAUUCUACAAUGGAGCCUUCAAAGGAUUUUCAAAAAGAGUUCUGGAGUCCAGCUUCUCCAUGUAGACUUCUCCCGAAAUAACACCUGACCAACUUGAAGAUCAGCACAUUCACAUUUUAGUACCUGAGAAUUUAACAGAUUCUUACAAUUGCUGUUAUCCAGGUGGCAGCUGCAAUGCAGUUAUUGUUGCCUGCCUGUGCACAAACUUUAGAUGGAUGUUCACGCAUGUUUAAACUGUCUCUAAACAGUCUGUUGGCCAAAAUGUAGAGGAUUUGCAAUUGACCAGUAUGCCACCGGAAAUAUGAGUCCUGAUGGUCUGCCAACAUUUUAUUUGACAUCUUUUAGUUAGAUCAAUAAAGAUCCAGCAAAAGAGACACAGAUGUAUAGAACGGACUUUUGGACUCUGAGGGAGAGGGAGGGGGUGGGAUGAUUUGAGAGAAUGGCAUUGUAACAUGUAUACUAUCAGGUAAGAAAUGAAUCAUCAGUCUAUGUUCAAUACAGGAUACAGGAUGCCUGGGGCUGGUGCACGGGGAAGAUCCAGAGAGAUAAUAUGGGGUGGGAGGUGGGAGGGGGCUUCAGGAUUGGGAACUCAUGUACACCUGUGGCAGAUUCAUGUCAAUGUAUGGCAAAACCAAUACAGUAUUGUAAAGCAAAAUAAAGUAAAAAUAAAAAAAAAUUAAUAAAGAUCCAGAAUCAAAACCUAUAGGAUAAGCAUCAGCAGCUUGAAAGAAAAUCACAGAUGCAAUAUUAGAGCCCUCUUAAGAAUAGGUGCUGAUUCCCCAGAGAAUGAUAGAGUGUGAAAAUACUCUGACAUCAACGCUCACUGAAAAUAAUUCAGAGGACUUGAAUUCUAUGGGAAAAAAUUAGGGACCCCUCAAUCAGUGUUUACAAAUUUAAGUCAGAUUUAUUCAGAUAAACUUUACAUCUUAUAAAAUAUACCCGUUUUAGGUAUGCAAAUCUAUGAGUUAAUAAAAAUGUAUAAUGUCAUAU
ensembl:lncRNA